AGAUUGAACGCUGGCGGCAUGCCUUACACAUGCAAGUCGAACGGCAGCACGGGAGCAAUCCUGGUGGCGAGUGGCGAACGGGUGAGUAAUAUAUCGGAACGUGCCCAGUCGUGGGGGAUAACGUAGAGAAAUUUACGCUAAUACCGCAUACGAUCCAAGGAUGAAAGCGGGGGACCUAAGGCCUCGCGCGACUGGAGCGGCUGAUAUCAGAUUAGCUUGUUGGUGAGGUAAAAGCUCACCAAGGCGACGAUCCGUAGCUGGUUUGAGAGAACGACCAGCCACACUGGGACUGAGACACGGCCCAGACUCCUACGGGAGCAGCAGUGGGAAUUUGGACAAUGGGGGAAACCCUGAUCCAGCCAUCCG
rnacentral:rRNA from 1 species